GCAGUGGUGGUUCAGGGGUAGAAUUCUUGCCUUCCGUGGAGGGGACCUGGGUUCAAUUCUCAGCCAAUGUA
rnacentral:tRNA from 1 species